UACGAAGGGGGCUAGCGUUGCUCGGAAUCACUGGGCGUAAAGGGCUCGUAGGCGGCCAACUAAGUCGGAUGUGAAAUCCCCAGGCUUAACCUGGGAACUGCAUCCGAUACUGGAUGGCUUGAAUCCGGGAGAGGGAUGCAGAAUUCCAGGUGUAGCGGUGAAAUGCGUAGAUAUCUGGAGGAAUACCGGUGGCGAAGGCGGCAUCCUGGACCGGCAUUGACGCUGAGUGAGCGAAAGCCAGGGGAGCAAACGGG
rnacentral:rRNA from 1 species